UACGGGGGGAGCUAACGUUGUUCGGAUUUACUGGGCGUAAAGGGGGCGUAGGCGGCCUGACAAGUGGGGAGUGAAACCCUUCGGCUCAACCGAAGAACUGCUUUCCAAACUGUCGGGCUUGAGUCCGGGAGGGGAGACGGGAAUUCCUGGUGUAGCGGUGAAAUGCGCAGAUAUCAGGAGGAACACCGGCGGCGAAGGCGCGUCUCUGGACCGGUACUGACGCUGAGGCCCGAAAGCGUGGGGAGCAAACAGG
rnacentral:rRNA from 1 species